rnacentral:rRNA from 1 species
UACAGAGGGUGCGAGCGUUGUUCGGAAUUAUUGGGCGUAAAGGGCGCGUAGGCGGUGCGGUAAGUCACCUGUGAAAUCUCCUGGCUCAACUGGGAGCUUGCAGGCGAAACUGCCGUGCUGGAGUGUGGGAGAGGUGCGUGGAAUUCCUGGUGUAGCGGUGAAAUGCGUAGAUAUCAGGAGGAACACCUGUGGCGAAAGCGGCGCACUGGACCACAACUGACGCUGAGGCGCGAAAGCUAGGGGGAGCAAAACAGG